CGGGUGAGUAAUGCGUGACCAACCUGCCCCAUGCUCCAGAAUAGCUCUUGGAAACGGGUGGUAAUGCUGGAUGCUCCAACUUGACGCAUGUCUUGUUGGGAAAGUGUUUAGUGGCAUGGGAUGGGGUCGCGUCCUAUCAGCUUGUAGGCGGGGUAAUGGCCCACCUAGGCUUCGACGGGUAGCCGGCCUGAGAGGACGGACGGCCACAUUGGGACUGAGAUACGGCCCAGACUCCUACGGGAGGCAGCAGGC
rnacentral:rRNA from 1 species